rnacentral:lncRNA from 1 species
UAAUUAUUCUCUUCCAGAGAAUAUUUUUCCCGUAUUGCUAUUUCCAAGGGCUUUCUGUCUGAUUUAUUUUCUGUUUUCAGGACUCAGUGAAGCAGAAAACCAAAAGUUAGUCUUCAGUGGUUGGGGAAAAUCCUGAAAGUUGGCGGAGGUGGUCUCCGGAUGAUCCAGCCCAGUUUUUCCAGGACGAGGGAGCAAAGAGCUGGCAAGUGCAGAUUCCAGUUGCUCCUGGAGUCACAAAGAAGGGAAGAGGAAACACUGUGAUGAGGGGAUAUAAACCCACGUGCAGGGACAUGAAGCAGAGGACCUGCUUGGACUGUGACCACUGACAACCUCUCAGCUACACGAGGAGUUCAAGGAGUGCACCACAGUUUGUCAGUGGCUCCCAUGUACCUCUUGCUGCCCUCAUGUCUGAAUGUCACCUU